rnacentral:lncRNA from 1 species
ACUGCAAUUACAAAGAUAUCUUGAAGCUGCAGGAUGUAACAGAAGGCAUGCACAUUAAAGGUGCAAAGCGUAGGCCUGAUAAAGAAUGUACAGUGUGCAUAGAGGGAAAGUUCACUCAAACGAGAAACAGAGAUCCGGCUGAGAAGGUAAAGACACCACUUGAACUGGUGAACACAGACCUAGCUGGUCCAGUAAACAAUGAGUCCAUAGAUGGUUUCAGGUACAUGCAGUCUUUCACCGAUGUGUGUACGGGGGCAGUGUUGGUUUACUUUCUGAAAGCAAAAAGUGAUGCAGUUCAGGCCACUGAGAAGUACCUGGCAGAUGUAGCGCCUUAUGGCACUGUAAAAUGCAUCAGAUCAGAUAACGGGACCGAGUUCAUUAACAGAGAGUUUCAGACACUACUGAGAAAGAACAAAAUCAGACACGAGACUUCCUGCCCUUACUCCCCGCACCAGAACGGGACAGCUGAAAGGGAAGGGCGCACUCUUUUUGAGAUGGCCAGAUGUAAGCUUAUCGACAGUGACCUACCUAAGAGUCUUUGGCACUAUGCCAUCCAGGAAGCAGCCUAUACCAGGAACCGGUGCUUUAACAAACACACAGGCACUACCCCAUAUACAGCAAUGACAGGUAAAAGGUGCAAUCUAGGCAGUAUGCAUAAAUUCGGGUCAGUGUGCUAUGCCUACCAGCAAGACAGAGGGAAACUAGAUUCUUGGUGUGAGAGAGGACUCUUUGUAGGGCAUGACAAGGGCAGUCCCGCCUAUCUAGUUUACUACCCCGGUAAAGGAAAAGUGCAGAAGCACAGACUGGUAAAGUUUAUCACCAAGACAACCUGUGAAAACGAGACUCAGACACAGGAGCUAGCACUGGACCCUGAAGUAGCUUGUGACAAAAGCAUAGAGACUCCACAGCCUAGUGUACUGAGCACAGAUGUACAGGCUGACGGUCCACAGUCAGCAUCAGAGGAUGAGGGCGAGAAGCACCCUAGGGUGACGCCACAUGCCUCAGACAGUGGGAGAUACCCCACCAGAGAGCGUAAACCCCCGGGGUAUCUGAGAGAUUAUACUGUGGAAGAUACUGAUGAUGACAGUACACUCAUUAGUGUAGAUUAUUGCUACCGUGCAGUUUGUGGUGUACCUCUGACCUUUAAAGAGGCCAUGACAUCAACUGAGUCAGGAAAGUGGGAGAAAGCGAUGGACGAGGAGAUGAAGUUUUUUGAGGACAACCAGACCUUUACCCUGACUAAGUUACCAGAGGGCAGGAAGACAGUGGGAGGAAGGUGGGUAUAUUCGAUCAAGGGUGACAUUGACGGACACGACCAGUACAAAGCUAGGUUUGUAGCAAAAGGAUACAGUCAGAGAGCAGGGAUAGAUUAUGGCGAAACAUUCUCACCAACAGCCAAUCUUACAAGUAUACGUGUAGUGAUGCAGAAGGCAGCCCAAGACGAUUUGAUCUUGCAUCAAAUGGAUGUGAAAACAGCCUAUCUGCACGCCCCCAUUGAUCGAGGUAUAUACAUGGAACAACCUGAAGGUUACGAAAAAGAGGGAGAGAAGUUAGUGUGUAAACUACAGAAGUCAAUUUACGGCCUCAAGCAGUCGGGGCGUAAUUGGAAUGAGAUGCUCCACACAUGCCUAGUAGAUGAUAACUUCACUCAGAACCCGACAGACCACUGCGUCUACACAAAAGAGUCU